GAAGCUACUGUCAGGCAGAUACACACUUUCCUCCAAAUUGGUGUCAUCUGCAAACUUACCAAGUGUGCACUCAAUCCUGUUGUCUUUCCGCUUGUUUCAAUUGUACUCCAAUCGAAUCGGCAACUGGGUUCUUACCACUUUCUCUAUCACAUAUGAGACAAGAUUUCUCCUCCAUUUGUCUGGAUAAGGUGCCCCAGUUCGCUACAGUGCACACAAAUUCCAUCUUCUGGUAAUGACUGUCUACUAGCAUGAUUGGUGAGAACACUCUGAACGUGGGAAGAGUUCUGGCUGGAGGACAAGUCGAAUGAAAGCAGGAGGCUUCAGAGAGCUCGCUGUUCCCUCCAAAAUCUGUUCUGCUAUGCAUUUUCUUUGUUCUUUCAUUCAUCCUGCUCCCUUUUUCCCCUCAAGGGAGGAGCAACAAGCUGCAAGAACAGAUGUUCCUAAUUUUAUUAGACACUUCAUACUGAUACACAGAGCUUUACUUCCUAGUUAAGCAAUGACAAGGCUCACUGUAUCUCACAGGAGCAGCAUGAUUCUCAAGAGGGGCUAAUAUAUACAUAUAACGGUCCAAGACUGUAUUUCUUAUGUAAAUAGAAAAACAUAAAUAGCAUUUUUAUGCACUUAGUAGAAUCAGUGCCAAAGAUUACUGAACAUGAAUUUGUAGCCAAGAAGCGUAAUCAAGUGUUCUUUAAUAAAAAAAUAUAUAAUAUAACGUUAUUGUAUGACACAUAGAUGCAAAAUCCUCAGUUUUAAAAUGUGCCUUUCAUAAGCAUUCAGAAUUGAUUAUUUUUUAUGGAUUUUCUGAAAUGUUAAGUAUAAAACAAGUUCAAUCCAUAGAUCCAUUUUUUUCCUUUUAUUUAUCUUUCUUCUUUAUCCCUCUUGAUCCCAAUUACUGCAAAUUUCUAAAUCUUCUUAAUUCAUAAAAAGACUGAAAACAAAACACUAAGAGAAUCCACCUGGAAAAGGCUCUAGUUUAAAAGAGAAAAACAAAUCCAAAAAUUUGCUUUCUCUUUCUCUCUAGGACAAACUAUCAUGUGCUGAGGGUUGUAUGAACACAGAGGGAUUCUGAUCCUGGUUAUUUGGUUCUGACAGAGGAGAAGAGUCACCCAGAUUUCAAAAGUCUCCUCCAAUAAGCAUGGCAAAAUCAGACUCUUAAAAGCUGAGGGAACAGUCAUUUUGUUAUAUAUCAAGCUUUCUAUAGUACGAUAUACUUUCGUUAGUUUUAAAUGGGAAGAACAGUUCAUUGUCCAAAUCAGAAUAAGUACCUGAAAAUAGAGCAAUGAAACUUACUUGCCUGUUUUGUAUGUGCAUGACGUAUUUCAUUUGCAUUCUUCCUCUCUACGGGCUGUAUGGAUGCAUAGCUUAUAGAAUCAUAGAAUCAUUUGAGUUGGAAGGAACCCUCAACGCAGCUGAUAUGAGUAUUAUUGUAUGGUUGUUAACUAUUGUAGUUGCAAUCACUGUGAGUGUAUAUGCGUGGAGUUCCCAGAAAUUACAGUCUAAUAAUUUUUGCUAUUACCAUAAUAAUUUCAAAACUAAGAAGCAUAAAAGUAGUAUUACUCUGGUAUAUGUGACAUAACAAAACCACAAAUUUACAAAAAAGCUUGCACAAAGUUACUUUGAACAUAGCUCUUUUUUUUCUUUAAGGAUCAUUAGUGUCUCUCAAGUGUGACAAAGAUCCUACAACUCUUAAAAGCACAGAAAUUAUUUUAAUGAGAUGUACAUAUACACAAACUCUGAGAAUAAUUUAGGAAUUACACUAGAGAUCAUUUUAGGUACACAUAAUAUGAACAUUAAAAGGAAAUAUAUAAUUUUAAAUCUGUAGAAGGAUAGGAGUGGAGAACCCAAUUACCAUUUCUGCAAGAAUAGUAGCAUGCCAAAGUCAGGAACAAAAGAUGGUGAGGUAGAACAACCAAUUUUCAGCAUUCAAAACAGAUUUCUGCAAAAACUUUGCUAAACUAUUGAGCCUUGCUAGCUAAUAUAAUUACAGGAGCAGAUACUGAGGAAGGUUAUUAGAAGACUAAUCUAAAUAUUCAUUAUAACAUUUUGUUUUAUAUAUAUUUUUUAAUCUAAACUUGUAUAGGUCUAAGAAUGAAUUCAGAUGGUAGAUGUAUUUGUACUUCUCUGACAAUAUAUCCAAAUGAAAUGGAAGAAUAACCUAAAAAUUAAAUUAAAUUUUAAAAAGCCUGGCCAAUCACCCACAAAUUGCUAUAAAUGUAUAUCUCAGAAGCUGCAGUGAGCUUUGGACUCUAAAAUGAAAGUUUUAGUUUUAGGGUUGGUAUUUUGAAGCAUCAGAUCUCAGGGUAAAAGCUGGUAUGAGAGAAAUAAUCUGGAUCCCUUCUGACAAGAAACAAGCAGCACAGCAACAGAACAUAGCAUUGGCUGUCCCAAGGGAAUGACAACCUUAUUCAUUCUAUAUUUAUUUCUAUAAUUCUACCAAAAACUGCUAUUUUUGAAUCAUUUAUCUCAUCAGACAAGUAAAUAGUAAACACUGAAAAGAGAAUAUUAUACAGCCUU
rnacentral:lncRNA from 1 species